rnacentral:lncRNA from 10 species
CACGGAUAGGAGUGGCGCACGCGUAGGAGCGGGGCGCGGGCAGGUACAGAACGCGGGCAGCAGGACGCGGAGGGGAGCGGGGCGCGGGCUGGCAGAGGUCAGAACAGGACGCGGUAGCAGCGGGGCUCCACUAAGCAGGGAUAGGAGCGUGGGGCGGUAGCUGCCAGACAGGCGGGUGCUGGAAAGGCCACCAGUAUCCUGGGUCAGCGCACCUCUGCAAGCACAGCCGCUCCUUUCAAACAGGUGCGCCCUUUCCACUGCACAGCGGGCAAGGAAACCAGGAGGAAGAACCCCAUGACUGCACACAGCGAGGAUUCCUCCAUUUCUUCCCAACGUUACUCAGUGUAACUGGGCAUCCUGUAAUUUUCCAGCAGCCAGACCUACAAAGCCUGAGAUGACCGGGGACACCCCCGCACCCCAUCGUACCUCACGCCCCCCACCUCCCCUGCAGCUUGGGUGUCCUGCUUUUCCCGGAGCCCAGAGAGAGUUCCUCCACUUCAGGAAUGCGUCCUGCCAUCCCCUCUGCUCCUGGUAUCCCUGUGGGCCACUCCCCUGGCCCCUGCAGAUCUCUGCCCAGAUGGCAUCUCUCGCCGAGGCCUGUCCUGACCAGCCGGUACAAAACAGCAGCCCUGUCACCGCCCCUUCACCGCUCGGUGGCUUCUAUGACCUUCCACCAGAAAGCCGUCUCCUUGAAGGCAGAGUUUCAUCUCUGCUGUCCACAGCUGUGUCCCCACACUGACGACAGUGCCUGGCAUGUAGUAGUUAGUCAAUAAAUAUUUUUCAAAUAAAUGAUGUCCCUACUGCCCCACCCCAGGCCACCGGCAAACUCCUUAAACCACAAGGACAGCUUUGUGGCCUCUCCUCUGCAAAGCUCUCCCUGACCACACGCGUGUCCUCCAGGCAGGAAGAGCCUCCUCACUAGCCGAAGAGUCCCUCCGAGGUAGCGAUGGUGUCCCAUCCACCUUUC